rnacentral:rRNA from 1 species
AUAAAGUUAGCGGCGGACGGGUGAGUAACACGUGGGUAACCUGCCCAUAAGACUGGGAUAACUCCGGGAAACCGGGGCUAAUACCGGAUAACAUUUUGAACCGCAUGGUUCGAAAUUGAAAGGCGGCUUCGGCUGUCACUUAUGGAUGGACCCGCGUCGCAUUAGCUAGUUGGUGAGGUAACGGCUCACCAAGGCAACGAUGCGUAGCCGACCUGAGAGGGUGAUCGGCCACACUGGGACUGAGACACGGCCCAGACUCCUACGGGAGGCAGCAGUAGGGAAUCUUCCGCAAUGGACGAAAGUCUGACGGAGCAACGCCGCGUGAGUGAUGAAGGCUUUCGGGUCGUAAAACUCUGUUGUUAGGGAAGAACAAGUGCUAGUUGAAUAAGCUGGCACCUUGACGGUACCUAACCAGAAAGCCACGGCUAACUACGUGCCACCAGCCGCGGUAAUACGUAGGUGGCAAGCGUUAUCCGGAAUUAUUGGGCGUAAAGCGCGCGCAGGUGGUUUCUUAAGUCUGAUGUGAAAGCCCACGGCUCAACCGUGGAGGGUCAUUGGAAACUGGGAGACUUGAGUGCAGAAGAGGAAAGUGGAAUUCCAUGUGUAGCGGUGAAAUGCGUAGAGAUAUGGAGGAACACCAGUGGCGAAGGCGACUUUCUGGUCUGUAACUGACACUGAGGCGCGAAGCGUGGGGAGCAAACAGAUUAGAUACCCUGGUAGUCCACGCCGUAACGAUGAGUGCUAGUGUUAGAGGGUUUCCGCCCUUUAGUGCUGAAGUUAA